AGAAAAGAAACCAACAGGGAUUGCCUCAGUAACGGCGAGUGAAGCGGCAAAAGCUCAAAUUUGAAAUCUGGCUCCUUUGGGGGUCCGAGUUGUAAUUUGAAGAGGAUGCUUCGGGUGCGGCCACGGCGCAAGUCCCUUGGAACAGGGCGUCGCAGAGGGUGAGAAUCCCGUCUCGAGCCGUUGGACCCGUACCCGUGUGAAGCUCCUUCGACGAGUCGAGUUGUUUGGGAAUGCAGCUCUAAGCGGGUGGUAAAUUUCAUCUAAAGCUAAAUAUUGGCCGGAGACCGAUAGCGAACAAGUAGAGUGAUCGAAAGGUUAAAAGCACCUUGAAAAGGGAGUUAAAUAGCACGUGAAAUUGUUGAAAGGGAAGCGCUUGCGACCAGACUCGGGGGCGGGGUUCAGCGGCCAUCCGUGGCCGUGUACUCCCUGUCUCCCGGGCCAGCAUCGGUUCUCGCGGUCGGUAAAAGGCCCCCGGAAUGUGUCGUCCUUCGGGUCGUCUUAUAGCCGGGGGUGCAAUGCGGCCAGCGGGGACCGAGGAACGCGCUUCGGCUCGGAUGCUGGCGUAAUGGUCGUAAGCGGCCCGUCUUGAAACACGGACCAAGGAGUCUAACAUCCACGCGAGUGUUCGGGUGUCAAACCCGUGCGCGCAGUGAAAGCGAACGGAGGUGAGAGCCCCUCACGGGGUGCAUCAUCGACCGAUCCUGAAGUCUUCGGAUGGAUUUGAGUAGGAGCGUGGCUGUUGGGACCCGAAAGAUGGUGAACUAUGCCUGAAUAGGGUGAAGCCAGAGGAAACUCUGGUGGAGGCUCGCAGCGGUUCUGACGUGCAAAUCGAUUCGUCAAAUUUGGGCAUAGGGGGCGAAAGACUAAUCGAACCAUCUAGUAGCUUCGGCUUCCUGACCGAA
rnacentral:rRNA from 1 species